UACUGUUAUGCAAUAUUGUAAUAAUUGUAUAAAUAUCACCAUAUUUGAGAAUGCAUAUUAGACCCACCAGCUGGUGUGUAGUAGACGUGUGAGGUCGUUUGUUUACUCUUGAAUAUCGGCAAAAAUUUAACAUUUCUGCUACUUUGAGCUCAGUUUCAAGCCAUUUCCAGUGCUAAAACCAAUCAAAAUCAUCUCUCUUUCUGUAAUAUGUCUUCCAUUCUAUCAAAUGAGACCAAGAAAUCGCAAAUACAACUAUAAAAAACAUACAAAAAAACACUGCAGUUGCUGUUUUAAUCGAAAAAUCAUGAUUUCAGUUUUUUUUCUCUCAUUAUACACAACGUGCUGCAGGAUCUGUUUUAUGUGGUGCACACAUACCACAUAGAUGUAUGUAUUCCCUCAUAUCUAGGCCCAAAUGUACCACUCACAGUAUCAGAGUGAGCUGAGCUCAUGACAUAGAUCUACGGUUUGGACCCUGAACAUAAAGCCGUAGAUCUACGGGACGGACCCUCAAAGGGUUAAUUGGCAAAACUGUGCUGGGUUAACUGCCCAUAGGAUUAGUGAGAUAUUUUCAGUGGACUGACUGACAACUAAUUGAUUCUUAGCCACAUGGGAGACAGAGCUCAAGUCAUUCUAAUUUCCUUAUAAUAGACAAGGAUAUAACACUCCUCCAAUCUCUCCAUUUAUCUCAAAGCCCAUUAACCCUUUCAGGGUCGGUGUCGUACUAGUACGGCUUGCACGCCAGGGUUGGUGCUGAACUAGUACGCGUAAAUUUUAGCGUCUUCAAAUCUAGCGAGAGAAAGCUGGUAGGCCUACAUAUGAAACAAUGGGUCUUUGUGGUCAGUGUGCACAGUAUAAAAAAAAAUCCUGCAGCAAACAGUGCAAAAAAACUCCAACCAUGUUUUUGGUUUAAAAAAGCAAAUUUGCAGUGUAUUUUCGUAUGGUAUUUAUGGUUGUAUUCUCACUUUCCUGGUCUCAUUUUAUAGAAUGGAAGACAUAUUACAGAAAUUGAGAUGAUUUUGAUUGGUUUCACAAUGAAAAAUACCUUGAAAUUGAGCUCAAAGUAGCAGAUAUGUUUGAUUUUUGCCAACAUUCAAAAGUAAACAAAUCAUGCCACGAGUCCAAUACACGUCAACUGAAGAGUCUAAUAUUCUUUCACAAGUACGAUGAUAAUAUUUAUACCAUUUCUACACUAAUGCAGUAGUCUACAUAACAGUAAAUCUUCUAUUUUUUGUAAGAAUAAAAAUUCAAAGUGGAAAGCAAAAGAAAUGUAAGAGGGGCCUGAGGAUGUGACUAAUGAACAGAGAAAAUGUUAUUUUAGUGCCAGAAAUGUCUGUCUGGUUUACUCUGGACCCUAUUUAGAAAUUGGCAUCUCUUGAAAUUUGUGUGAAAUUGGUGAAAUUGCCAACUUCUGACCAGUUUAUUGGACAGUUGAAAUCGGUAAAUGAGUGGUUUCUUGUACUCAUUCGAUAGAACAAAUGGAGUUCUAGUGAAAUAGUUAUGAUUUCUGUCGACUGGUACAUUGGAAUUGGCCGAAAAUAGGGAUCAAAGUGGGCGAAAUUGCCGAUGCGUAAACAUCAUCGAGACUGCUAACUUCGCGAGAGCAUAAUUCCGUAAGUUUUCAAUCAAAUUUCAUACUUUUGGUGUCAUUAUGAUCAGGAAAAGAUUCUCUAUCAUUUCAUUUUUUUUUUUUUUUUUUUGAAAAAUUUUUGACCCUGAGAACAAGUUUAGGAGAGGGUCUCUCGACCCUGAAAGGGUUAAGGAAAAUCACAACAUGGGAUCUACAUAUACAAACUGCUCCAAGAUAACAGAGGUACUGUAUACCUGGAGAGGGUUUUGGGGGUCAACGCCCCUGCAGCCCAGUCUGUGACCAGGCCUCAUGGUGAAUCGGGGCCUGAUCAGCCAGGGUGCUGAUGUUGGCCACACACAACCCGGCGUACGAACCAUAGUGUGGCUGGUCAGGUACUGACUUCAGGUGCCUGUUCAGUGCCUUCUUGAAGACAGCCAGGGGUGUAUUGGUGUUAUGGGGCCAUAGGACCCAACAUGUAUUUAUAAGUAACAGUUACUCUGGAAUACCUAAUUAUAUUGAAUUGAUGGGGACUUUGCUCUAAAUGUCAGAAGGACUGAUCAACCUUAUGACUGAGGCAGCUGGGUCAAGCCUAUUUUUCUCAAUAUAAUAGGUUAUACUAUAGACACAUAAACACACAAAUUUAAAUAAGUAGUUUAUAAAGUUGUAUUUCCUUUUGUAAAAGUAAAAUUAAGGUGUGGUAGAAUUGUGGUAACUGGAGAAUUGUGCUUGGCAACAGUCUUUUGUUUUGGUGGGAGGAGCUUAGCCUCUUUCUCUCUCUCCCUCGCACUGACUCGGGCUCUCUGUGGCUGGCCUUCAACCUGGCAGGAUCUCUGGGUCCUUCUUCUAUCUUUUGGGGCAUUAUGUGUGCUCCAGGGGUGAGUUUUUUUUUAUAAUUUAAGUUGUGACCACCAUACCCAGGGUGACUAAAGUGUGUCAAAACACUGGUUAGCCCAGAGUUAUGUCAAGGAGAGAGAGAGGACUAAAGUUGUUGAGAUAUACCAUGUGGGAGAACAGCUAUGCAGUGUGUAGAUCGUUGUUUUGAAAAUGUGAGGCUGUAAUUGUAUAUUCUGUACAUAUCUAUUGAGAAUACAGUUAUAUUUUUAUA